GGAAAUGUAAUCUCCCUCCUACUCUCCCUCGUAAAUUCUUCCCGCUAAUUUCUGUACGACCCCUAGCCUAUCAGAUUCCCGAUCUAAUUUUCUCGCGAAACAAACACAAGAAAAGAGAAGAAGGGGAAAAAAAACAGAGAUAAACUUUCCUUCUCAUUUUCUCGGGCUUUCCUAGUUAAAUCAAACUCCAAUGAAUUCUCGAGAGCUUGCACUUGUCUCCACAGCCACAGUCUUCGGAGCUUUGGCUUCUGCUUUUGCUGUUCGCUUCCUCUACCUCAGCAACAGCAACUCCAGGAAGCGGUUGUUAUCCAAAACCAAAUCGGUUCCAAACGUUGACGUUUCGAAGAAAUGCUCUAUUCAGAGCCCGUUUGAUCCUUCCAAACGCAAAGAGUAUCUAUCAUGGGAUGAUUAUUUCAUGGCAAUUGCGUUUUUAUCAGCUCAAAGAUCUAAAGACCCAAACAGGCAGGUUGGGGCAUGUUUGGUUAGUCAAAAUGGCAUAAUUCUUGGCAUUGGCUAUAAUGGAUUUCCAAGAGGUUGUUCAGAUGACAAGCUUCCCUGGGCAAAGAAAUCCAUAUCUGGGGAUCCUCUGGAGACAAAGUACCCUUAUGUUUGUCAUGCUGAAGUCAAUGCUAUUCUGAACACAAAUCAUGCUUCUGCUGCUGGGCAGAGGCUUUAUGUGACUAUGUUCCCCUGCAAUGAAUGUGCCAAGCUAAUCAUUCAGUCUGGCGUCUCUGAAGUUAUAUAUUUUGUAGAGAAACACUUAAACAAUUCAGAUAUUGCGUAUAUUGCUUCACACAAGCUGCUGUCCAUGGCUGGUAUUAAAGUCAGAAAACAUCAACCCCGGAUGGACCAAAUUUUGAUCAAGUUCGAAGAUCCCUAGAUAAUGACUACUGCUCUUCAUUUGCCAAGCCUGAUUAUCAGUUAUAGUUAUACGAUCAAGCCUAGUAAUGCUCCUGCUCUUCAGCUGGGCUGUUAUCCCGUGCUCUUGUUUAUCGAGGGGAUCACCCUUUCUACUCUUGAAAGGGUUGUUGGAUUUAGCUUUUACGGGUGCAUCCGAAUGAGAUUCUUCUGUUUUUUGCGUGAUACAUAAUUGAUGUUCUUAGCCUGGGGUAAACUUGAUUGGGUGAUUUACGCCAUGCAAUUAAGUUGAAAUUCUAAUGCCCUUGACCUUGCGUGUGCGUGUCGAGCCAGAAAUCUUUUUUGCCGCGCAGUAAAUUUUGGUUUUGUUUAAAACUGAGUAAAUUAGUUCGACUGGUACACAACAACGUUGGAAACAUGGUCAUGGUAAAAAGCGGGUACAAGGGAACAAAAGCAAUGCACAGCUAAACUCCCUCAUC